AGUCGAGCGGCAACAGGGGAUAACGUUUCUUGUUACUCUGUCUGGCAAGCGGCGAACGGGUGAGUAAAAUCUGGGGAUCUGCCCAACGGAGGGGGAUAACUAUUGGAAACGAUAGCUAAUACCGCAUAAAGUCGGUUUGACCAAAGUAGGGGAUCUCUUAUUAAAAUAAGUUUUUUGUUAUUUUUAAAAAAGACCUUAUGCCUUUGGAUGAACCCAGAUAGGAUUAGCUAGUAGGCGGGGUAAUAGCCCACCUAGGCUACGAUCCUUAGCUGGUCUGAGAGGAUGACCAGCCACACUGGAACUGAGACACGGUCCAGACUCCUACGGGAGGCAGCAGUGGGGAAUAUUGCACAAUGGGGGAAAUUCUGAUGCAGCUAUACCGUGUGUGUGAAGAAGGCCUUCGGGUUGUAAAGCACUUUCAAUGGGGAAGAAUUUAAUAUUGCUAAUAUCAAUAUUAAUUGACGUUACCCAUGUAAGAAGCACCGGCUAACUCCGUGCCAGCAGCCGCGGUAAUACGGAGGGUGCAAGCGUUAAUCGGAAUUACUGGGCGUAAAGCGUACGCAGGUGGUGUAUAAAAUCAGAUGUGAAAUCCCUGAGCUUAACUUAGGAACUGCAUUUGAAACUAAUAAACUAGAGUCUCGUAGAGGGGGGUAGAAUUCCAGGUGUAGCGGUGAAAUGCGUAGAGAUCUGGAGGAAUACCAGUGGCGAAGGCGGCCCCCUGGACGGUGACUGACACUCAAGUACGAAAGCAUGGGGAGCAAACAGGAUUAGAUACCCUGGUAGUCCAUGCUGUAAACGAUGUCGAUUUGAAGGUUGUAGACUUUGAGCUGUGACUUUCGAAGCUAACGCGUUAAAUCGACCGCCUGGGGAGUACGACCGCAAGGUUAAAACUCAAAUGAAUUGACGGGGGCCCGCACAAGCGGUGGAGCAUGUGGUUUAAUUCGAUGCAACACGAAGAACCUUACCUACUCUUGACAUCCAAAGAAUCUUAUAGAAAUAUGAGAGUGCCUUCGGGAACUUUGAGACAGGUGCUGCAUGGCUGUCGUCAGCUCGUGUUGUGAAAUGUUGGGUUAAGUCCCGCAACGAGCGCAACCCUUAUCCUUUGUUGCCAACGAGUAAAGUCGGGAACUCAAAGGAGACUGCCGGUGAUAAGCCGGAGGAAGGUGAGGAUGACGUCAAGUCAUCAUGGCCCUUAUGAGUAGGGCUACAAACGUGCUACAAUGGCGUAUACAAAGAGCAGCAAACUCGCGAGAGCCAGCGAACCUCAUCAAAGUACGUCUUAGUCCGGAUUGGAGUCUGCAACUCGACUCCAUGAAGUCGGAAUCGCUAGUAAUCGUGGAUCAGAAUGUCACGGUGAAUACGUUCCCGGGCCUUGUACACACCGCCCGUCACACCAUGGAAGUGGGUUGCAAAAGAAGUGAGUAGUCUAACC
rnacentral:rRNA from 1 species